CCAGGAGUUUACUCUUGGACUUAUGGGGAAUACCAACCCCGUAGACCUAGAACGUCAAAAAGAGGAGAAAACAAAUG
ncrna:unclassified sequences freshwater-2 RNA